GAUCUUCCUCAGCAACAGGAAUGUGGUGCAGUCCGAAGCCAGGUUGCUGAAGGAUGUGUCUCACAAAGAGAUCCCACUGGCAUUGUUGGUGGUAGGCCUGGGCGGGGGCAGCCUCCCCCUCUUUGUCCACGAUCAUUUUCCAAAGUCCUGCAUUGAUGCUGUGGAGAUCGAUCCCUCCAUGUUGGAAGUGGCCACCCAGUGGUUUGGCUUCUCCCAGAGUGACCGAAUGAAGGUCCACAUUGCAGAUGGCCUGGACUAUAUCGCCAGCCUGGCAGGAGGAGGAGAAGCACGGCCUUGCUACGAUGUCAUAAUGUUUGAUGUUGACAGUAAGGAUCCAACACUGGGAAUGAGUUGUCCGCCCCCAGCAUUUGUGGAGCAAUCUUUUCUACAGAAGGUUAAAAGCAUCUUGACUCCUGAAGGUGUUUUUAUUCUCAACCUUGUGUGCCGAGACUUGGGGCUAAAAGACUCAGUGCUGGCUGGGCUCAAGGCAGUGUUCCCCCUCCUAUAUGUCCGGCGAAUUGAGGGUGAAGUGAAUGAGAUCCUGUUCUGUCAGCUGCACCCUGAGCAAAAACUUGCCACACCAGAGCUCCUAGAAACAGCCCAGGCUUUGGAGCGGACCCUGAGGAAGCCUGGGAGGGGUUGGGAUGACACGUAUGUCUUGUCAGAUAUGCUCAAGACGGUGAAAAUUGUGUGACUGCUUAGGCCAAGCAGCCCUCCUGCCUAGACUGACCUUGGACUCCCAGCCUGCCAGAGAAUGAAGAAAUACAACGCACAGUACUUUUGAAGCUUCGUAUUUUUCUUGGCUUCACACUCAGCUACAUGUGACCUCCAGCUUGGUGAG
rnacentral:sRNA from 1 species